CACCACCCCUGCUCCGGUGGGCUCAGGCUGGCUGGUCGGGAGCCCCCUCAUUGGGUGGCAGGUGGGUGGGCAGGUGGUGGCCAGGGAGCUUCGUCCAGGAGCUGUGACGGGAAAUGCUCCCUCAGGCCCGCUCCUGGGAGCCAGAAGCCAGGCCUCGGCACCUGCCACAAGCUGGAAGCUGAGUGCGUGGCCAGCCUUGGGCGGGCUGGGCUGCCCAGAGCUCAGUCAUUGGCCUUUAGAAACUCAUCUUCACUACCAGAUGCUGAUGUUCUUCAAGAAUCAGUCCCUUGGAGGUGAAUCAGCAAAAAUGGUGAAUACAGAACUCCCAAGGACCCAUCCCUUCAUAUAAACAGCAAAUAAAUUAGCACAACCUGUCAGAAUCAAAUUUAUGUGAACUGUGGAAAUGAGUCAAACGUUUGAAAUAACUAGGAAAACACUUAAUCAAGAAAAAGGUGAUUGAAUCUCGGUAGAAAAAUUUGUGUCAUUUAAACUUGUCCUGGUCCCGUUUUCUCAUCCCCAGCUCAGUGGCAGUUUUGAAGA